rnacentral:rRNA from 1 species
GACGAACGCUGGCGGCGUGCUUAACACAUGCAAGUCGAACGGAAAGGCCCUGCUUGCAGGGUACUCGAGUGGCGAACGGGUGAGUAACACGUGGGUGAUCUGCCCUGCACUUCGGGAUAAGCCUGGGAAACUGGGUCUAAUACCGGAUAGGAGCCAUUUUUAGUGUGAUGGUUGGAAAGUUUUUUCGGUGUAGGAUGAGCUCGCGGCCUAUCAGCUUGUUGGUGGGGUAAUGGCCUGCCAAGGCGGCGACGGGUAGCCGGCCUGAGAGGGUGGACGGCCACAUUGGGACUGAGAUACGGCCCAGACUCCUACGGGAGGCAGCGGUGGGGAAUAUUGCACAAUGGGCGCAAGCCUGAUGCAGCGACGCCGCGUGGGGGAUGACGGCCUUCGGGUUGUAAACUCCUUUCGCUAGGGACGAAGCUUUUUGUGACGGUACCUAGAUAAGAAGCACCGGCUAACUACGUG